rnacentral:rRNA from 1 species
UCGAUGGAGAGUUUGAUCCUGGCUCAGGACGAACGCUGGCGGCGUGCUUAACACAUGCAAGUCGAGCGAGGUCCAUCCAGUGGCAACACUGGGGAAGACCUAGCGGCGAACGGGUGAGUAACACGUGAGCAACCUGCCCCGAAGACUGGGAUAACACCGGGAAACCGGUGCUAAUACCGGAUACCCCCAUCAGAUCGCAUGGUCAGGUGAGGAAAUGAAUUUUGCUUCGGGAGGGGCUCGCGGCCUAUCAGCUUGUUGGCGGGGUAACGGCCCACCAAGGCUUCGACGGGUAGCUGGUCUGAGAGGACGACCAGCCACACUGGGACUGAGACACGGCCCAGACUCCUACGGGAGGCAGCAGUGGGGAAUCUUGCGCAAUGGGCGAAAGCCUGACGCAGCAACGCCGCGU